ACUUAAAUUGAAGAGUUUGAUCAUGGCUCAGAUUGAACGCUGGCGGCAGGCCUAACACAUGCAAGUCGAGCGGUAACACAGGGAGCUUGCUCCUGGGUGACGAGCGGCGGACGGGUGAGUAAUGUCUGGGAAACUGCCUGAUGGAGGGGGAUAACUACUGGAAACGGUAGCUAAUACCGCAUAACGUCGCAAGACCAAAGAGGGGGACCUUCGGGCCUCUUGCCAUCAGAUGUGCCCAGGUGGGAUUAGCUAGUAGGUGGGGUAACGGCUCACCUAGGCGACGAUCCCUAGCUGGUCUGAGAGGAUGACCAGCCACACUGGAACUGAGACACGGUCCAGACUCCUACGGGAGGC
rnacentral:rRNA from 1 species